rnacentral:lncRNA from 1 species
CAACAACUCCUCUGCCUGCACUGUACAGUAAUCAACUAACUAUACAGAAAGAGGAGGAGAACAACAAUUCCUCUGCCUGCACUGUACAGUAAUCAACUAACUAUACAGAUAAAUAGAGCUAUGUUACUGCUCAUGUUACAUUCAAUAUUAAUUACAAUAUUUCAAUAUUAGUUCUAAAUAGGAUAAUAUAUUUCAGGAAAUAGUUAAUAACUUUCAUUACCCAUAAGUUGUUUUUUUAAAUUGUUAAACUUGUCUUUGUGAAGAUUAAAUGAGCUGGUUUCAACUAAAGGUUUACAAAGACAUGUUCUACAAGGAAUUAGAGUACAACUAAAGAUUUACAAAGAUAUGUUCUACAAGGAAUUAGAGUACAACUAAAGAUUUACAAAGACAUGUUCUACAAGGAAUUAGAGUACAACUAAAGAUUAACAAAGAUAUGUUCUACAAGGAAUUAAAGUACACUUCUUUCAAUCAUUUAAGCUGUGAUAAUUCUUUGUGCUUUAUAAUUCAUAAAAUAAUUAAAUGUUACUUAGUUUUUCAGUUUAAAUUUUGUAAAAUAAUUUGAUUUGUAUAUAUGUUAUAUUGUCUGUUUUGUUUUUAAAUUUUAUUUCUCACCUGGUAACUGUUAAUUUUGUCAAAAGUAAGAAAUGGUUCUUGUACAAUACUGAAGUUGAUUGAAUCAGCUGCUUGUUAAUGUAGUGUUGAGAUGUAUAGUUCCUUGGUCCUAACUGACUUUAUCAUUAAUGAACAGUGUAGGAUACCUUCUAACCAUUAUCCCUCCUGAAAGGUUAGUAUUGUAAUAUUUUAUCAUGUAGGUUUCUCUUAAUAGAUGUAUUUUUCAUUCAUGUUUGUUAUUUUAUGUCAUAAUGGUGUUGGGCAUUUGGAAAUAUUGUGUAUAACCAAUGUAUGUCUUUUUAUUCUCUGUAUACAUGAUUUAUUGUGUAUAACCAAUGUAUGUCUCUUUAUUCUCCGUAUACAUGAUUUAUUUUUACAAAUCAAAAGUCUCAAUAAUAUAUUUCAAAUCCAAUGAACAUAAAGUAGAUUAUACUGCAAUCAGCUAUUUUACUAUACAGAUAAAGCUA